ACUAAGUUGUGGGAGAAAAUCCCUGUCGGCGGAACGUGUGGCGGAGCAGGAGUGGAAACUCCGUUAGGCUGUGGGUGUGGUGCCGCGAGGAGUGGGAAGUUCAGGUCUAAGAAGACUUCUGCCCCUGCUGGCCGGAACAUGGGAGAUUUGCAGGAAGAUGUAAAGUUUAUAGUGGAUGAGACCUUGGACUUUGGAAGGCUGUCACCAUCCGACAGUCGUGAGGAGGAAGACAUAGCAGUGUUGGCGACUCCAGAGAAACCCCUCCGACGAGGCCUCUCCCACCGAGGUGGCCUAAAUGCGGUGGCCCCCAUCCCCCAGGGUGUGAGGUUCAGCUUAGGCCGCCUCAGCCCAGAGAAGCUGGAGGAGAUCCUGGACGAGGCCAACAGGCUGGCAGUGCAGCUGGAGCAGUGUGCCCUGCAGGAGCGGGAGAGGACAGGCGAGGGCCUCGGGCCUCGCAGGCUGAAGCCCAGCCCUCGGCGGGAGACCUUUGUGCUGAAGGACAGUCCUGUCCGAGACCUGCUACCCACUGUGAGCUCUUUGGCUCGGAGCACCCCCUCUCCAAGCAGCCUGACACCCCGACUCCGGAGCAGCGAUAGGAAGGGAUCAGUCAGGGCUCUUCGGGCAACAUCUGGAAAGAGACCCUCCAGCGUGAAGAGGGAGUCGCCCACUUGCAGUCUGUUCCCCACAUCCAAAAGCCCAGCAUCUUCUCCCCUUGCCCGAUCAACUCCUCCAAUCAGGGGGAAAGCUGGACCCAGUGGGAGAGCAACAGCAAGCCCCCCUGUCCCCGUCAGACCAGUCUUGGCCCCACAGCCUUCUACCAGCAACUCUCAGCGCCUGUCUCGGCCACAGGGAGCAGCUGCUAAAGCUUCCAGUCGACUACCUGUUCCCUCAGCCAUCCCCAAGCCUGUCAGCCGAGUGCCACUCACUAGCCGGAUUGUACCACCCAGCAAAGGUGCCCAAACUUCAGAUUCAAUGUCAACUCGGAAAGGACUUCCAAGACCAAGCGCUGCAGGGCACAGAGUUCCUGUUUCCCAGCGACCAAAUCUUCCUAGUGCCACUCACAGCAAUCUGCAGCCCCCCAGGAAAGUUGCAGUUACAGGACCGACCAGGAAUUGCUGAGGGGAGGGAUUGAGGAGAAUCCAUGGCAGGAAAGCCAGAGACCAGCCUUACAAAUGAGAAACGAGCAUUUGCACCUGCUCCAGAGGAAAGUCCGUGACAAGCCUGGAAUACAUGCUUAGCAUAAAUGGGAGCUGAGGUGGGGGGAGCAGGAGAAAGAGGAACAGGACCUGGUCCUUUGAAGAAGAGAGCCAAUUCCCAGAAGGGGUUAAAAAUAGAACACAUUCCAGAGGCCACAGCAGGUCAGACAAAGUGAGGUCUGUCUGAUCUUGGGGGGUGUGGGUGAGUGGACCCCAGAACCCAGACUUGAGACCGGUGCUGGGAGCAACUGAGCAAGCACUAAAUUUACUCUUCCUCCCGGUCCCACCCACACAACAGCAAAGAAGCGCAACUUAACAUGACUGGCCUUCCCCACGUGCGGGUCCGGCAGGGAGAUGAAGCACUUUUGGGUCAGCAAACUGAGCAAACGCCUGGGCUGCAGCACAUGGCCGGAGACCAGGAAAAGGAGAGGAGCUGGGGUGGCCCAGCCACCGCUGGGGCACGGGUUCCCCUCAAAAUGUGUUCAUGCAGCAUUUGGGGGUCUGGGGGCACUGAGUCCUUCUGCCCCCUCUCCGAGAACGGGGCUUCGUCAGUUCCUGGGAGGGGUGGCACAGGCGGGGUGAGGCACUCCCUCUGCCCUGAUACCCUCGCCAUACUGAGGCCCGCCCGGGGCAGCCUGCAGGGCUGGGCGCCCUGGGUGCAUGUGGCUUUGUCCUUUCCUUUUGGUGAUGGCAAAUGAGGGGAAGGUCCCCCUAGAGUCCCUCUCCUCCCCGAGGCACAGCAGAUGGGAAACCGAGGAGAGGCUGGGGAGCAUCCUGGGAG